GAGUUUGAUCAUGGCUCAGAUUGAACGCUGGCGGCAUGCCUUACACAUGCAAGUCGAACGGCAGCAUGAUCUAGCUUGCUAGAUUGAUGGCGAGUGGCGAACGGGUGAGUAAUACAUCGGAACGUGCCCUGUAGUGGGGGAUAACUAGUCGAAAGAUUAGCUAAUACCGCAUACGACCUGAGGGUGAAAGUGGGGGACCGCAAGGCCUCAUGCUAUAGGAGCGGCCGGUGUCUGAUUAGCUAGUUGGUGGGGUAAAGGCCCACCAAGGCGACGAUCAGUAGCUGGUCUGAGAGGACGAUCAGCCACACUGGGACUGAGACACGGCCCAGACUCCUACGGGAGGCAGCAGUGGGGAAUUUUGGACAAUGGGCGAAAGCCUGAUCCAGCAAUGCCGCGUGUGUGAAGAAGGCCUCGGUU
rnacentral:rRNA from 1 species